AGGCUUACCAAGGCNNCGAUCAGUAGCUGGUCUMAMAGGACGACCAGCCACACUGGGACUGAGACACGGCCCAGACUCCUACGGGAGGCAGCAGUGGGGAAUUUUGGACAAUGGGGGAAACCCUGAUCCAGCCAUGCCGCGUGAGUGAAGAAGGCCUUCGGGUUGUAAAGCUCUUUCAGCCGGAACGAAACGGUCACGGCUAAUACCUGUGACCACUGACGGUACCGGAAGAAGAAGCACCGGCUAACUACGUGCCAGCAGCCGCGGUAAUACGUAGGGUGCAAGCGUUAAUCGGAAUUACUGGGCGUAAAGCGUGCSCAGGCGUUUUGUAAGUCAGAUGUGAAAUCCC
rnacentral:rRNA from 1 species